rnacentral:rRNA from 1 species
CAGGAUUCUUCUUAGUAACUGCGAGUGAACNGAGAUUAGCCCAACAUCGAAGCCUCUUUGCUCUUGCGAGGUAAGGCAAUGUGAUGUUAAGGCAUUUAAAUUCACAGACUGGCUAACUUGAAGUCCAUAUUUGACUGUGGCUUAUGUGUAUGCACCCAGAGAAGGUGAAAGGCCCGUUCAGGUUGGUAUUCCGACAUGACAGUUCUGUGUUUAUUUAUUUGUCUUGGAGUCGGAUUGCUUGAGAGUGCAGUCCAAAAUUGGUGGUAAACUCCAUCUAAGGCUAAAUACCUGUACGAAUCCGAUAGUCGACUU